rnacentral:rRNA from 1 species
UACGGAGGGUGCAAGCGUUGUUCGGAAUUAUUGGGCGUAAAGGGCGCGUAGGCGGUAAUGCUAGUCAGAUGUGAAAUACUCCGGCUCAACCGGGGAACUGCAUCUGAAACUGCAUAACUAGAGUACAGAAGAGGGAAACGGAAUUCCCGGUGUAGAGGUGAAAUUAGUAGAUAUCGGGAGGAACACCAGUGGCGAAGGCGGUUUCCUGGUCUGAUACUGACGCUGAGGCGCGAAAGUGUGGGGAGCAAACAGGAUUAGAUACCCUGGUAGUCCCU